GUGGGGAAUUUUGGACAAUGGGCGCAAGCCUGAUCCAGCAAUGCCGCGUGUGUGAAGAAGGCCUUCGGGUUGUAAAGCACUUUUGUCCGGAAAGAAAUCUCCUGGGUUAAUACCUCGGGGGGAUGACGGUACCGGAAGAAUAAGCACCGGCUAACUACGUGCCAGCAGCCGCGGUAAUACGUAGGGUGCGAGCGUUAAUCGGAAUUACUGGGCGUAAAGCGUGCGCAGGCGGCUCUGCAAGACAGAUGUGAAAGCCCCGGGCUCAACCUGGGAACUGCAUUUGUGACUGCAAGGCUAGAGUGCGUCAGAGGGAGGUGGAAUUCCGCGUGUAGCAGUGAAAUGCGUAGAGAUGCGGAGGAACACCGAUGGCGAAGGCAGCCUCCUGGGAUGACACUGACGCUCAUGCACGAAAGCGUGGGGAGCAAACAGGAUUAGAAACCCCUGUAGUCC
rnacentral:rRNA from 1 species